UUAAGUUAUUAAGGGCGCACGGUGGAUGCCUUGGCACUAGAAGCCGAUGAAGGACGUUACUAACGACGAUAUGCUUUGGGGAGCUGUAAGUAAGCUUUGAUCCAGAGAUUUCCGAAUGGGGAAACCCAGCAUGAGUUAUGUCAUGUUAUCGAUAUGUGAAUACAUAGCAUAUCAGAAGGCACACCCGGAGAACUGAAACAUCUUAGUACCCGGAGGAAGAGAAAAGAAAAUUCGAUUCCCUUAGUAGCGGCGAGCCGAAACGGGAAGAGCCCAAACCAACAAGCUUGCUUGUUGGGGUUGUAGGACACUCUAUACGGAGUUACAAAGGACGACAUUAGACGAAUCAUCUGGAAAGAUGAAUCAAAGAAGGUAAUAAUCCUGUAGUCGAAAAUGUUGUCUCUCUUGAGUGGAUCCUGAGUACGACGGAGCACGUGAAAUUCCGUCGGAAUCUGGGAGGACCAUCUCCUAAGGCUAAAUACUCUCUAGUGACCGAUAGUGAACCAGUACCGUGAGGGAAAGGUGAAAAGCACCCCGGAAGGGGAGUGAAAUAGAACCUGAAACCGUGUGCUUACAAGUAGUCAGAGCCCGUUAAUGGGUGAUGGCGUGCCUUUUGUAGAAUGAACCGGCGAGUUACGAUUUGAUGCAAGGUUAAGCAGUAAAUGUGGAGCCGUAGCGAAAGCGAGUCUGAAUAGGGCGUUUAGUAUUUGGUCGUAGACCCGAAACCAGGUGAUCUACCCUUGGUCAGGUUGAAGUUCAGGUAACACUGAAUGGAGGACCGAACCGACUUACGUUGAAAAGUGAGCGGAUGAACUGAGGGUAGCGGAGAAAUUCCAAUCGAACCUGGAGAUAGCUGGUUCUCUCCGAAAUAGCUUUAGGGCUAGCCUCAAGUGAUGAUUAUUGGAGGUAGAGCACUGUUUGGACGAGGGGCCCCUCUCGGGUUACCGAAUUCAGACAAACUCCGAAUGCCAAUUAAUUUAACUUGGGAGUCAGAACAUGGGUGAUAAGGUCCGUGUUCGAAAGGGAAACAGCCCAGACCACCAGCUAAGGUCCCAAAAUAUAUGUUAAGUGGAAAAGGAUGUGGCGUUGCCCAGACAACUAGGAUGUUGGCUUAGAAGCAGCCAUCAUUUAAAGAGUGCGUAAUAGCUCACUAGUCGAGUGACACUGCGCCGAAAAUGUACCGGGGCUAAACAUAUUACCGAAGCUGUGGAUUGUCCUUUGGACAAUGGUAGGAGAGCGUUCUAAGGGCGUUGAAGCAUGAUCGUAAGGACAUGUGGAGCGCUUAGAAGUGAGAAUGCCGGUGUGAGUAGCGAAAGACGGGUGAGAAUCCCGUCCACCGAUUGACUAAGGUUUCCAGAGGAAGGCUCGUCCGCUCUGGGUUAGUCGGGUCCUAAGCUGAGGCCGACAGGCGUAGGCGAUGGAUAACAGGUUGAUAUUCCUGUACCACCUAUAAUCGUUUUAAUCGAUGGGGGGACGCAGUAGGAUAGGCGAAGCGUGCGAUUGGAUUGCACGUCUAAGCAGUAAGGCUGAGUAUUAGGCAAAUCCGGUACUCAUUAAGGCUGAGCUGUGAUGGGGAGAAGACAUUGUGUCUUCGAGUCGUUGAUUUCACACUGCCGAGAAAAGCCUCUAGAUAGAAAAUAGGUGCCCGUACCGCAAACCGACACAGGUAGUCAAGAUGAGAAUUCUAAGGUGAGCGAGCGAACUCUCGUUAAGGAACUCGGCAAAAUGACCCCGUAACUUCGGGAGAAGGGGUGCUCUUUAGGGUUAACGCCCAGAAGAGCCGCAGUGAAUAGGCCCAAGCGACUGUUUAUCAAAAACACAGGUCUCUGCUAAACCGUAAGGUGAUGUAUAGGGGCUGACGCCUGCCCGGUGCUGGAAGGUUAAGAGGAGUGGUUAGCUUCUGCGAAGCUACGAAUCGAAGCCCCAGUAAACGGCGGCCGUAACUAUAACGGUCCUAAGGUAGCGAAAUUCCUUGUCGGGUAAGUUCCGACCCGCACGAAAGGCGUAACGAUUUGGGCACUGUCUCAACGAGAGACUCGGUGAAAUCAUAGUACCUGUGAAGAUGCAGGUUACCCGCGACAGGACGGAAAGACCCCGUGGAGCUUUACUGUAGCCUGAUAUUGAAAUUCGGCACAGCUUGUACAGGAUAGGUAGGAGCCUUUGAAACGUGAGCGCUAGCUUACGUGGAGGCGCUGGUGGGAUACUACCCUAGCUGUGUUGGCUUUCUAACCCGCACCACUUAUCGUGGUGGGAGACAGUGUCAGGCGGGCAGUUUGACUGGGGCGGUCGCCUCCUAAAAGGUAACGGAGGCGCUCAAAGGUUCCCUCAGAAUGGUUGGAAAUCAUUCAUAGAGUGUAAAGGCAUAAGGGAGCUUGACUGCGAGACCUACAAGUCGAGCAGGGUCGAAAGACGGACUUAGUGGAUCCGGUGGUUCCGCAUGGAAGGGCCAUCGCUCAACGGAUAAAAGCUACCCCGGGAUAACAGGCUUAUCUCCCCCAAGAGUUCACAUCGACGGGGAGGUUUGGCAACCUCGAUGUCGGCUCAUCGCAUCCUGGGGCUGUAGUCGGUCCCAAGGGUUGGGCUGUUCGCCCAUUAAAGCGGUACGCGAGCUGGGUUCAGAACGUCGUGAGACAGUUUCGGUCCCUAUCCGUCGUGGGCGUAGGAAAUUUGAGAGGAGCUGUCCUUAGUACGAGAGGACCGGGAUGGACAUACCUCUGGUGUACCAGUUGUCGUGCCAACGGCAUAGCUGGGUAGCUAUGUGUGGACGGGAUAAGUGCUGAAAGCAUCUAAGCAUGAAGCCCCCCUCAAGAUGAGAUUUCCCAACUUCGGUUAUAAGAUCCCUCAAAGAUGAUGAGGUUAAUAGGUUCGAGGUGGAAGCAUGGUGACAUGUGGAGCUGACGAAUACUAAUCGAUCGAAGACUUAAUCAA
rnacentral:rRNA from 1 species